rnacentral:rRNA from 1 species
AGCGAACGCUGGCGGCAGGCCUAACACAUGCAAGUCGAACGAACUCUUCGGAGUUAGUGGCGGACGGGCGAGUAACACGUGGGAACGUGCCUUUUGGUUCGGAAUGACUCAGGGAAACUUGUGCUAAUACCGAAUGUGCCCUUCGGGGGAAAGAUUUAUCGCCAUUAGAGCGGCCCGCGUCUGAUUAGCUAGUUGGUGAGGUAACGGCUCACCAAGGCGACGAUCAGUAGCUGGUCUGAGAGGAUGACCAGCCACACUGGGACUGAGACACGGCCCAGACUCCUACGGGAGGCAGCAGUGGGGAAUCUUGCGCAAUGGGCGAAAGCCUGACGCAGCCAUGCCGCGUGAAUGAUGAAGGUCUUAGGAUUGUAAAAUUCUUUCACCGGGGACGAUAAUGACGGUACCCGGAGAAGAAGCCCCGGCUAACUUCGUG